GUUAAGUGAUUGUAACUAAUAAACACAUGAUUUUUACACAGUCAUUAACAAAAUACAGAAGUAUUCGUUUUAGCA
rnacentral:tRNA from 1 species